GACAGUGUCCAGUGUCUGGUGUUUCAGAGGGGAUGAACAGAACAGUAUUGAAAGAUUGCUGCUGGCCAGAUUCUGGUAUGAACCCUGGCAGAAAUCUGAGGAGGGUGGUAUGUGACCCUGUGUACCCCUCUACCCAAGUUACCACAGGAAGACAUGGUGCCAGGUGCCAAGUAAGCUGUGCUGAUUACCUCAAGCAGAGAAAUGCCAGGAGGAAAAUGUGCUACGCAACAUGAUGUCAACAACUUACAAAGACUGAUGUUUCAGGGAAGGAAAUAGUCAUUUGGUUAUUCCUGCAAAAUGCCUCUCAGGAGUAACAAUUAUGCAAGCCAAUGGUUUUCUCGUGUUUCUCACAUUUCCUAUGUCACUCUGGGUUGAUCAAGUACAGCAUUCUGAUUCAAAUUUUCAUCCCAGAAUCCAGCCAGAUAAUUCAGCGGGGGGCAGGAAACUGCUCUGAGGGAAGCUGGUGAGAGGAAUGCUUUCCCCUCUGGGUCUUCAGGAGAGCCACAAAACAACCAUUGCUUCAAUCUAAUGGCUCAACUAAUUGCCACGGUCCUCCUAGUCCUCUCUUCUGGCCUCCAGAAGAACUGGAUUUGGAGAGGGAAGACAAGACCAGAGAUUUCAUGUAGCAGGACAUCUUCUGGUUUUGGGCCUCCCCCAUUUCACAGCAUUCAAAUCCCCUUAUAGGAGCUUGGUUCUGUUUAAGGGGUGUGCAACCUGUGUGAGGCCUCCCAAAACUUGCGACUUUCCUGUGCAAGGAACCCAACCAGGGAUGAGACUUUUUGUUUUGCUUUGUUUUUGCUGAAACAUGUUAAGAAGAUGAACUCAUAAAAACGGCAGCACGGCCAUACUGGGUCACACAAAUUGUCCAUCAAGCCCAGUCCCCUGUUUCCUGAUAGUGCCAAAGCCAGGUGCUUCAGAGGGAAUGACUAGAACAGUUAAUCAUCACAUGAUCCAUCCCAGUCACCCAUGGGCAAAGAGAGGCCACCCACUGGCAGAGGGGCUGACAGCCUUGCUGGGCCCCUGGGCAAGGUAGGGGAGGGAGGGA